UACGAAGGGGGCUAGCGUUGUUCGGAUUUACUGGGCGUAAAGGGCGCGUAGGCGGAUUCUUAAGUCAGGAGUGGAAUCCCUGGGCUCAACCCGGGAAUUGCUUUUGAAACUAAGAGUCUUGAGUGUGAGAGAGGUGAGUGGAAUUCUCAGUGUAGAGGUAAAAUUCGUAGAUAUUGAGAGGAACACCGGUGGCGAAGGCGGCUCACGGGCUCACUACUGACGCUGAGGCGCGAAAGCGUGGGGAGCAAACAGG
rnacentral:rRNA from 1 species